GCUGAGUGUCAUUCACGCUUCUUUUGGCAAGACGACACAACUAUCACUCAACUGUUAUCUUGGUUGUGUUUGUAAGGUCUGUUUUCCCAUCAUGCAUUUGCUGUUCUGUUUGGUGUUCCUUUAAAGUACACCGCUUCUGCUUUCCCAAGCAAUACCUCAAACAAGUCAAACUCGAUACACAGAGCCUCGGUGGAUCUGCUGCUUCAGUUUCUGCCAACCCAUGAUUGACUAUUUAAGAAUCUGAACGCCCGUUUUGAGAAGGCGAAUGGAGACAUCAACUGCAGCACGGCAGAAAGCUAAAGCGGAGUGACUUGUGUGACUAUUAAAUUUAUCAUCAUCGGUUUACCCUCUUAAUCUCACAAUAUGAGCCGGUGAGCAGGGAAAUGUCUCAUCAAUUACUUUGACGGACAACAGAGAACAAAAUGUCAAACUAAUGAACCCUGCCAUCAAAGUGUAAUCUCCACGAAAAUUGAUUAAUCUGGCCUUUGCGGAGCAACCCUGCUCUCAUCUAGCCUAGAUAACCGCCCUGCCCCGUCCCAAGACAGAUGGCUAUCAUGUGGGACAAACCAGCAGGUAUUCAUCUCGCACUGGAACGCAGAAGAGAAAGACGGGGAGCCACUGGCUGUAUUGAUGCUGACAUCACCUCACCACCUCAAAUCAUUCUCCAGUCUUCCUCUCCGGAUCCCCCCCCCCCCCCCCCGCCCCGGCACCCUAGUUUCUGUCCAUUAAUAAAUCCGUCCGUCUCCCUGUCCCUGCUAUUUGAAGCCGAAGAGCCCCACACUUUCACAUUCACAGACCGCUUGCAGCGUUGCAUCUGUCUGCCGCGUGUGCCUGCGUUAACGCGUGUGUGCACACCACAGAAAGAAAAAGAGAGAGAGGAGAACGCGUGAGCGUGCCAGCGAGGAGAGGGAGAGAGAAAGGGAGAAGGGAAAAGCGAGCGAUCGAGAGAAAAAGGGGCAAAGAGACACCGAGUGCAUGAGAGCAAGACAAAGCAAUGAAAUUCAUCGGAGCCGUUUACCUCCUGUUCCUCCUUCCUGCUUUAAGCUUCAACAGCAGGUAA